GUACCAAAUAGCCUAGUGGACAUGGCAUCUGCCCGGUAAGCGGAAGGUCGUGGGUUCGAUUCCCGCCCCUGGACA